UAUUGGAGUCAAGAUUAUCAAAUGUAUAUUCUCAUUAGAGAAAAUCUAACAAAAUCACUCAAUUCAUAAUACAGCAACCUCCAGACCUGAAUGAGUUUGAUGAGAAAGCAUGGGAAGAAAUGCCAGGAGAAAACAGCAAAAUGCGAUAAGCUUUCAAUUGGCCUGGAAGGACACUGUGGCCCUGGGACAGAUGGACAGCCAUUCUUUCUGGUCUACGUUGCUGACACUGUCGGUCUGACAUUGGAGCUGUUCUGUCAACUGUGGAUUCUGCUGCCUGCAGUUUCCGAGUAG
rnacentral:lncRNA from 1 species